UCCUGCACGUGUAUCCCAGAACUUAAAGUAAAAUUAAAAAUAAAUAAAUAAAUAAAUAACAAGAUCCUGAAGAGUGGCUAAUUUACCAAGCUGUGUAUCAGUUCAUGGAUUCCUCUCUGGGCAGCCAGAGUCCCUCCUUAGGUGAUAACAUGAACACCUAACAUUGGCAUAUGCCCAAGUAUUUGAAACUGCGAGUGGGGAUUAUAUGGAAAACUGUCUGAAGUGCCUAAUAAGGGUUUAUAGUACACAAUCUUCCCUCAAUUAAUGGGUAGCAUUUGUCUCUCUUCUAAAACACCAUAAAGUCUUUGAACCAGCAGCUGGAAACCAUAAUUUGGGAAGGGAUGCCUAACAUUCUAAGGAGACUGCAUUGCUGGGCUAAUUUUGAUUGUAUAAGAACCUACAACAGUCCAAUUCCCAGAGUCUGUGGACCGAAAUAAAUUCAGCAGGAAACUGUAGUCUUACUGAGUGAUAAUAUGAUUUGACACCCAAGUAAUAGAAACAUGCAUUGGAGGACAGAAGAAAUGUCAGCACCAGCCCUUUUCCACUUGUAAAACUCCUCAUUCUUCUUCAAGAUGCAGCCCAAAUGCAACCUCCUCUCUGAAGCUUUCCUGAACUCCCUUAGGCUGAGUUACUCAGGCCCUCCUGUGUCCUGUAGCCCCUUCUCUUGCUCAUGUAAUUAUGUUUCUAUGUCUGUGACCGCCAUUAGAUUUUAGCUCCUCCUGAAUAACAGUUUCUUAGUGACUUUUAUAUACUCUGCAAACAGCACACUGCUUGGCACGUAGUAGAUGCUCACAAAAUAUUUGUUGUUGAAUUAAUGCAGUGGGUCUCGAUUUCCCUCCUUUUCUUCCCUAAGCCUGGAGCUAAGGCAGGUGAACCUUCAGAGUCCUUUGAGGGGCAGAGAGAAGUCAAGUCAAACCUGGGGGAAGGUGGCCGCCUCUGCUUCCGUGGCUCCCUCAAGAACAUGCUUGUGGAACCUUGCACCGUGAGGACUGGAAGGCACCUCAGAGUAUCUAGAGAGCUAGGAGAUGUCCUUGGGCAAGAUACUGUGAUACCAAAUGUUAUUCAUUUAACAAACCUUUGUCAAGGGUCAACACAUGCCAGGCCAUAAAGAAGCUACAGUUCCUAUCCUUACAAAUCAUACAGGGUGAGGCAGAGACAGACCUGUACACAGGUAUAAUAGGCACACAGUACUGUGUGACAAGUGCUCGGACAGGAGGGAGCACAGGAAAGGACACUGAAGAACAGACCUUGAAUAUCUCGCAGGAGAGUCCAUGUCAAAGCCAAGAGCCCACAGCGGAGCGAAGUUGCCUUGGAGGAGGAAGCGUCACAGUUCUCUGUGACAGAACAAGAGGACUGCCCCGCCCCUUUCUCAGAAGGGGCAUCAUAGGAAGCAGAACUGGCUAGAGCAUCUCCACCAUCUUCCUUCAAGCACGUGGACCGACACCCAGGCCUCCUGGUGUCCUGACACUGCAGACUCCUGGAAUAUACCUCCACCAGCAGGCAGGAAUCUGUCCUAUUCCCAGCAACCACUAGAGGCACUGCCUGACCCUACUGCGGCCACAAGCAGAGGGACCCCAGGAUUCUCAAAUCUGUUACCUUGUCUCACCUCCCCUAGGAAGCAGAAGAGUGCUAUGAAAAUCUUUAGCUGCUGAUCACAGCUAUAAACGAGAUGAGGAGGGUCCCUGUCCUCUUGGUGUUUCCAGUCUCCCAAAGAAGACAGACAUGAAACAAUGAUGGUUACAGUUCAAGAUGGAGGUACUAUCUGAGCUUAUGGCAAGGGGUUUUAAUCUCAUCCAAAGGGCCAAGGAAUGCCUCUUUAAAGAAGAGAGAACAAAUAAAAAUCAUUCAUAAUUCCA
rnacentral:lncRNA from 1 species